rnacentral:rRNA from 1 species
UACAGAGGUCUCAAGCGUUGUUCGGAUUCAUUGGGCGUAAAGGGUGCGUAGGCGGUGCGGUAAGUCGGGUGUGAAAUCCUGGAGCUUAACUCCGAAACUGCAUUCGAUACUGCCGUGCUUGAGGACUGGAGAGGAGACUGGAAUUUACGGUGUAGCAGUGAAAUGCGUAGAGAUCGUAAGGAAGACCAGUGGCGAAGGCGGGUCUCUGGACAGUUCCUGACACUGAGGCACGAAGGUCAGGGGAGCAAACGGG